UGGCGGCGUGCUUAACACAUGCAAGUCGAGCGAUGAAGUUUCCUUCGGGAAACGGAUUAGCGGCGGACGGGUGAGUAACACGUGGGUAACCUGCCUCAUAGAGUGGAAUAGCCUUCCGAAAGGAAGAUUAAUACCGCAUAAUGUUGAAAGAUGGCAUCAUCAUUCAACCAAAGGAGCAAUCCGCUAUGAGAUGGACCCGCGGCGCAUUAGCUAGUUGGUGGGGUAACGGCCUACCAAGGCGACGAUGCGUAGCCGACCUGAGAGGGUGAUCGGCCACAUUGGGACUGAGACACGGCCCAGACUCCUACGGGAGGCAGCAGUGGGGAAUAUUGCACAAUGGGGGAAACCCUGAUGCAGCAACGCCGCGUGAGUGAUGAAGGUUUUCGGAUCGUAAAGCUCUGUCUUUGGGGAAGAUAAUGACGGUACCCAAGGAGGAAGCCACGGCUAACUACGUGCCAGCAGCCGCGGUAAUACGUAGGUGGCGAGCGUUAUCCGGAUUUACUGGGCGUAAAGGGAGCGUAGGCGGAUGAUUAAGUGGGAUGUGAAAUACCCGGGCUCAACUUGGGUGCUGCAUUCCAAACUGGUUAUCUAGAGUGCAGGAGAGGAGAGUGGAAUUCCUAGUGUAGCGGUGAAAUGCGUAGAGAUUAGGAAGAACACCAGUGGCGAAGGCGACUCUCUGGACUGUAACUGACGCUGAGGCUCGAAAGCGUGGGGAGCAAACAGGAUUAGAUACCCUGGUAGUCCGCGCCGUAAACGAUGAAUACUAGGUGUGGGGGUUUCAACACCUCCGUGCCGCCGCUAACGCAUUAAGUAUUCCGCCUGGGGAGUACGGUCGCAAGAUUAAAACUCAAAGGAAUUGACGGGGACCCGCACAAGUAGCGGAGCAUGUGGUUUAAUUCGAAGCAACGCGAAGAACCUUACCUACACUUGACAUCCCUUGCAUUACUCUUAAUCGAGGAAAUCCCUUCGGGGACAAGGUGACAGGUGGUGCAUGGUUGUCGUCAGCUCGUGUCGUGAGAUGUUGGGUUAAGUCCCGCAACGAGCGCAACCCUUGUCGUUAGUUACUACCAUUAAGUUGAGGACUCUAGCGAGACUGCCUGGGUUAACCAGGAGGAAGGUGGGGAUGACGUCAAAUCAUCAUGCCCCUUAUGUGUAGGGCUACACACGUGCUACAAUGGCUGGUACAGAGAGAUGCAAUACCGCGAGGUGGAGCCAAACUUAAAAACCAGUCUCAGUUCGGAUUGUAGGCUGAAACUCGCCUACAUGAAGCUGGAGUUACUAGUAAUCGCGAAUCAGAAUGUCGCGGUGAAUACGUUCCCGGGUCUUGUACACACCGCCCGUCACACCAUGAGAGUUGGCAAUACCCGAAGUCCGUGAGCUAACCGCGAGGAGGCAGCGGCCGAAGGUAGGGUCAGCGAU
rnacentral:rRNA from 1 species